GUUGGUAUAGCUCAGUGGUACAGUGUGUGCUUAGCAUGCACGAGGUCCUGGGUUCAAUCCUUAGUACCUCCA
rnacentral:tRNA from 1 species